rnacentral:rRNA from 1 species
AGUGAACGCUGGCGGUAGGCCUAACACAUGCAGGUCGAACGGCAGCACAGUAAGAGCUUGCUCUUACGGGUGGCGAGUGGCGGACGGGUGAGGAAUACAUCGGAAUCUACUUUUUCGUGGGGGAUAACAUAGGGAAACUUACGCUAAUACCGCAUACGACCUACGGGUGAAAGCAGGGGAUCUUCGGACCUUGCGCGAUUGAAUGAGCCGAUGUCGGAUUAGCUAGUUGGCGGGGUAAAGGCCCACCAAGGCGACGAUCCGUAGCUGGUCUGAGAGGAUGAUCAGCCACACUGGAACUGAGACACGGUCCAGACUCCUACGGGAGGCAGCAGUGGGGAAUAUUGGACAAUGGGCGCAAGCCUGAUCCAGCCAUACCGCGUGGGUGAAGAAGGCCUUCGGGUUGUAAAGCCCUUUUGUUGGGAAAGAAAAGCAGCAGGUUAAUACCCCGCUGUUCUGACGGUACCCAAAGAAUAAGCACCGGCUAACUUCGUG